GCCGGGAUGGCGGAACUGGUAGACGCGCCGGACUCAAAAUCCGGUUCCCGCGAGGGAGUGAGGGUUCGAUUCCCUCUCCCGGCACCA
rnacentral:tRNA from 1 species